UAGAGAAAACACAAACUCUCAAUACAAUCGUCCAAGAAUAACCAUGAUGACAACACCCUAAGCUAAUCAGCAAAGGCAGUCCUCUAAACCAACCACCCAAACAGAGGUGUAACACAGGAAACCCCAACGAACACAAAGAGUCCAGAGAGCAAACAGAAAGUCCAGGCAGGAUGUGACAUGUUGAGAUAUUUCAGUCUGGACCAAAGCGUCGGAUCAUCCAACAGACCCACGCUGCCGUCCACCGAGCCGAGCUGCGUUCAACUGAGAGACAUUCUAUCUGUGUCAAAACUUAAUCUGUCAUCUGCGUUGACGCCCACAAUGUCGCCUGUCGCGCCACCACAUACCCGACGUGCCUGCACUUUCAUUUUCAGAUCUGCAGAAGCCAUAAUUGAAAGAACCUGAAAGGGGUGUGAAUUCUAAGAAACGAGAUCGAAAGGAGCAAACAGACGGACGCCAUGAUGGAUGAGUGACAGGAAGUAAACAGAGACAGACGGAGUCCAUGUUGAUGCAGGAUGACGUCACCAGAACUGUCCAAUCAAUACGACACUCUGACACUCGUACUGGUGGGGAAAGUUUUCCUGAGAUACUAUUAAUCUAAAGAGAAGAGAGUCCUCGUCCUUCCAUCAAAGGACGAGUUCACAGUUUUUCAAGUGUGUCUUAAAACAACAGUCAGGAGCCUAA